GACGAACGCUGGCGGCGUGGAUUAGGCAUGCAAGUCGAACGGUAGGAUACCUUCGGGUAUCUGAGAGUGGCGAACGGGUGAGUAACACGUAGGUGACCUACCCUCAAGAUUGGGACAACCCAGGGAAACUUGGGCUAAUACCGGAUGAAAGCAGCAGUGAUGUUGUUUGAAAGGUGGCGUAAGCUGCCGUUUGGGGAUGAGCCUGCGCUCUAUUAGUUAGUUGGCGGGGUAAAGGCCCACCAAGGCGAUGAUAGAUAGGCGGCCUUAACGGGUGGUCGCCCACACUGGGAUUGAGAUACGGCCCAGACUCCUACGGGAGGCAGCAGUCGAGAAUAGUCUACAAUGGCCGAAAGGCUGAUAGUGCGACGCCGCGUGAACGAAGAAGCCCUUCGGGUGUAAAGUUCUUUUAUAUGUGAGCAGUGCUUUCUAUGUGAACAGCAUGGGGAGAGAGAUAUUAGCAUAUGAAUAAGCAACGGCUAACUCCGUGCCAGC
rnacentral:rRNA from 1 species